GUCUCUGUACACAUAUACUAAAAUUGGAACGAUACAGAAAAGAUUAGCAUGGCCCCUGUGCAAAGAUGCCAUGUGAAUUCAUGAGGCUUCCAUAUUCUU
ensembl:snRNA LOC120096458 U6 spliceosomal RNA